rnacentral:rRNA from 1 species
GACAGAGGGGGCAAGCGUUGUCCGGAAUUACUGGGCGUACAGCGCGCGCAGGCGGACCGCCACGUGCCGUGUGACAAGCCACUGCUCAACAGUGGAGGGCCAGGGUACACGAGCGGUCUGGAGGCAGGGAGAGGGAUGUGGAAUGCCCGGUGGAGCGGUGAAAUGCGUAGAGAUCGGGCGGAACACCAGCGGCGAAGGCGGCAUCCUGGUCCUGUUCUGACGCUGAGGCGCGAGAGCGUGGGGAGCGAACUGG